GACGAACGCUGGCUGCGUGCCUAAUACAUGCAAGUCGAACGCAGUGGGGACGGGUGAGUAACACGUGGGUAACCUCCCAUCAGAUGGGAUAACACUUGGAAACAGGUGCUAAACCGAUAUUGAUUGAUGGACCCGCGGUGCAUUAGCUAGUUGGUGUGGUAACGGCUCACCAAGGCAACGAUGCAUAGCCGACCUGAGAGGGUGAUCAGCCACACUGGGACGGAGACACGGCCCAGACUCCUACGGGAGGGAGCAGUGGGGAAUCGACGGCAAUGGACGAAAGUCUAACCGGGCAACGCCGCGUGAGUGAAGAAGGUUUUGGGAUCGGAAAACUCUGUUGUUAUAGAAGCGGUAUCUAACCAGAAAGCAACGGCUAACUACGUGCCAGCAGCCGCGGUAAUAC
rnacentral:rRNA from 1 species